AGUGGCGGACGGGUGAGUAACGCGUGAGAAUCUGCCUUGGGGUCGGGGACAACCACUGGAAACGGUGGCUAAUACCGGAUAAGCCGAUUGGUGAAAGAUUUAUUGCCCGAAGAGGAGCUCGCGUCUGAUUAGCUAGUUGGUGAGGUAAGAGCUCACCAAGGCAGCGAUCAGUAGCUGGUCUGAGAGGACGAUCAGCCACACUGGGACUGAGACACAGCCCAGACUCCUACGGGAGGCAGCAGUGGGGAAUUUUCCGCAAUGGGCGAAAGCCUGACGGAGCAAGACCGCGUGAGGGAGGAAGGCUCUUGGGUUGUAAACCUCUUUUCUCAGGGAAGAAGAUCUGACGGUACCUGAGGAAUCAGCCUCGGCUAACUCCGUGCCAGCAGCCGCGGUAAUACGGAGGAGGCAAGCGUUAUCCGGAAUUAUUGGGCGUAAAGCGUCCGCAGGUGGCGAUUCAAGUCUGCUGUCAAAGCACGGGGCUUAACUCCGUAAAGGCAGUGGAAACUGAAUAGCUAGGGUGCCGUAGGGGUAGAGGGAAUUCCCGGUGUAGCGGUGAAAUGCGUAGAGAUCGGGAAGAACAUCGGUGGCGAAAGCGCUCUACUGGACGGCAACUGACACUCAGGGACGAAAGCUAGGGGAGCGAAUGGGAUUAGAUACCCC
rnacentral:rRNA from 1 species